rnacentral:lncRNA from 1 species
AGAAGAUGAACAUAAAGCACACUUGAUACAAAACAAUAUUCAGAAGGGGGACAGGGGUAUAUAGGUACUUAGAUGCUAGAAACUAGGUACAACACUAGCUUGGACAGCUGGACUUAGUCACAAGUGUAUGAGCUACUAGAAGUUCUACAAAUAGAGUCUGAAAUAAAUAUUACUGUUUCGAAUGAAAUGAACAGUAAAUAAGGAAAGAGGAAGGGGACUUCAAGGUCUGCGGACGCCAGCAGAUCUACCUCGAGUCAACAAAUAUGCCAAUCCGAGCUGACGCACCUCACGUACAGCUGAGACCAGUACCAAAAUCUGCACAGGAAGUGUAGAGUGUAGUAUGAGUACAACCAAUCCAAUGUACUACGUAAGUGUCGAGCCUAACCUCGACGAGGUAGUGACGAUACUAUGACAGAAAACUCACGAAAUUUAACAUGUACAAACGAAGAUAUACGUGCAACAUAACAACAAAUAGAGAUUACAUACGUACGAUUCGGAGGGGAAAUGCAAAAGGGGGUACGAGGUAUGGUAACUAUAACAGGAAUGACAACAUGAGACAGUCAAAUAAACCAUCAACUAAUGAAAACGGAUAAACAUAAUGAAUAAAGAUAGCACGACAUCACCCAUCAUGCUAUUACUCAUAGCCCUACCAUGAAAUAAUAAUAAUGGCAUGGUAUCACCCUUCGUACUUUUAAUAUUAAUCUCUCCAUGAAACGAUAAAUAUGGUACGUCAUUACCCUUUAUGCUUUAACUCUCUUCUUCACUAUGUAUUAAUCAAUAAAUGAAGAAAUAAUCGGCACGACAUCGCCCUUCGUGCUUUAACACUCUCCCUUACCAUGUGGUAAUGAAUAUAAGAAUAAGCAAGAAUAAAUCUUACGUCAAAAUGGUUCUGAGAUACAAAUCCUCAAUUUCAAAGAAAUACUCCACCAUCACCAUUUAAUUCAUCAAUGUGGAAAGAACGAUCAAAUAAAGAACAAACUAUUCUAGGCAUGAAUAUCGUAAGUAAAGAAGGCAAUAAAUUACAAGAAAUAAGUCACACCCGCAUGCUUUAACCCAACAACAACGCAUAAGUACUCCCCACCUCACAUAUACGUUGUAUCCAAAUAUUUAAACACGUAGCAAAUAGGCAAACAAGUCUUAAUCUCUCAAGUCAAGGUUCACCAAGAAACUUACUUCGCUCCGCAAUCGACUCAAAGUUCAACCAUGGCCUUGCCUUUCGAACAAACCUCCGAACCAACCAAAUCUAGCAAAUUAUUAACCAAAUGAUUCAAAAUACGCCUUAAGAACUACCCACGAAUGAAAGAGGUUCAAUCUAGAUCAUUAUUGAAAAGACAACCUCGGACCCGCUUGGUCAAAAUCCAAAAUUCGGACCAAAAUCCGAUUACCCAUUCACUCCCGAGUCCGGUUAUGUAAUUUGUUUCUAAAUCCGACCUCAAUUAUCGAUCUAAAUUCUAAUUUUACAAAAAUUCCUAAUUCUAUCCAAAUCCUCAAUUUCUACUAUAAAAAUCCUAGAUUUUUGGUUUGAAUCUUAUGAAAUGUAAUAGGUAAUUAAAAGGAAGUAGGUUAGAGUUACUUACCAAUGAGUUGAGGAAGAAAAACUCUUGGAAAAAUCGCCUCUAAGGUUUUUAGGGUUGAGAAUUUGAAAUAAUGAGCUAAAAUCCCAUUUUUUCCUUCUUAAGUCCAGGUGCAGAUAUCACAAAUGCGACAUGAUUGCGAACCCCGCAAAUAUAUGAAAGUCGUCGCAAAUGCAAAGAUUCCCAUCUCUGCUGCCAUCGCAACCAGCACUCAUACCUUAACUUGGCCGAGCGAAACUUCUAAUUUAUUAUUUCUAUUCUACAAUACAAGUAAAACCAAUCUAAAAUUCAACAAAAAAUCUUGAUUUUUUCUGAAAAAAUCUUAGCAUAAUUUCAGCUUGUUAAAUAAUAUAUCUAAGAUCAACUAAAUGAAACCAUGACAAUAUCUGGACAUUAAAUUCUUGACUCUUCUAUGUCAAUGAAGCCUCUUAGAACUACUGAAUAAUAAAAGACUGAAUUUUAAAAUCAAUGAAAUUCAUAAACUAGAAUGGAGCUCAUCAAAUCUGCUCCAUGGGAGGAGAAUAUCCUAGCUCGUAAAUUGACAUAGGUUAAUGUAGGUUCCUACAAGUAGAAUGUCAGUACAACAUAAUUGUUCUUAGUAAGUAAAAUAAUCCUCUCACUAAAAUUGAAACGAGACUCUGAAUGAAAUACGUUGGCAGGAUAUGAUAAAAUUCUAAAAAGUUUCUUUAUGAGCAGUUAAAACAAACAACUCAUAUUUGUGUUGUAAAAAUUCUUCUUUCUUUUAUUCAUGAAAAUUCUUCUUUCUUUCUUUUAUUUUCUUGUCUGGAACAACUCAAACAUAUAAACAUUUAAACUUUUUCUCCAAAAAAUACUUGUAAGUUCCCAAAACAUGUUCUUUAUUUUUUUUUCUUUUUAGGGAGUACCAUUGAUUUUGACAUUCUUUCUUAUUUUUUUCUAAGAAUAUCACCAUGUGAUCAAUAAUGGCGGAUUAUCCCAGCCCAAUCGCCUGGAUCCCAUUCCUAGUGGUGCUUCAUAGUUUAAGGUUCUAGCAUGCUUGCAUUCUUGUGCUUAUUACCGGUGCAUUUCUAUCAUAGGGACCGGACCAACGAUACACUAAUCCUACUCCAUCACGAGUAGUUUCAGGAUUACAUAAGCCACUAGAGACUAUACGCCCUUCUUAGAAAUCUAAGGAAACUUCCAAAAUAUUUUUAUGAGCAAUCUUUUAAUCAUAAAAUCUAAAAUAAUAUUAUUUCUUCAUAAUGCUCAUCAAAACAGUUUUAUCUUAUGAAAGAAGCUUCAAUAGUUUAUAGUAUUAAGAAAAUAUAUGCAAGUCAUAAAAUGCAUGCGACAUAAUUUAUGAAAUAAUGAACCUUUCUUGUAAGAUUAAACAGGAUAAUCCUUUAAAUACUUUUCUAUAGUUCUAAUGAAUAAUGUGAGUCCGCUCUCUCUAAUCAAAAAUGCACCUUGACAUUCUAUAUGAUUUAAUAAUAAUAUGUGGUAUGAUAUUUGUGAGAAGACAACUUUAAUAAAAGUAUUAUCUCAACUCACCUUGAUUUUUCCCUUUCGAAUACUUUAGUCACUCAAUUUCAAGGGAUUCAAUUCACCAAACCAAUCUCUACAUUGGUAAUUCAAGAAUCAAUUCUAAAAGUUUCAAAAUUUCAAGCUUUGGAAGCCCUAGGUUUGCUUCUUUCUCAAUUUUCCAAAGUUUGUACUUAAUCUAUAUUUUUGUAGUAUAUUAUAGGAAUGGAUAUCAACAAAAAUCUUCCCUAAUAAUCAUAGUUGAAAGCAGAUUGCGGAGUUUAACUUGAAUCGCGAAAUCCUAAGUUGGAGGAAAACCUUGUUCGCGAAUCCUUGUUGAAAAUCUAGUGAUUCCAAGAUGUAAUCUUGUUAGAAUCGAUGUUUGGAAGUAGUAAUUUAACUUUAAUUGCAUUAAAAACUCACCUUAUGUAGUAUAGGAACUCUUGGAUGACUUGGGAUUGAGAGAG